GUUCUUAAGUUCUUAAUGUCGUCGUUCAGCCAUGACUCUGUGAAACAUAAGAUAUUACAGUUUUUAAUAUCCCGUUGGUAGGAUAUACAUGCUUUCAGUUCGUCUCAUUUAUUUUCCAGCGAUUGAACAUUAGCUAGCAGGCAAAGGCAGAAGGCGAAGGCAGAUUAGCCACUCGUCGCCUGAUCCUUUUCUGUGAAAUCUCAGUUUUCUUCUCCAGCCAAUGACGGGGAUCUGGGCAUGUUUGCGUGUCUGUAUUAUAUCCCUCCCGUCCGACUCAUUGAAGAAAAACUCUUCUGAGGUGAGUAAUCACAGUUCUGAUGCCCAGAAGCUCUUUUAGGUCAUAAGAGAUGGUAGCAGGAAAAUUAUGUACAAAACAAGUUACGAACAACACAAAAAAAGAAAAAAUUGCAUGGUUGGUUGAGAGCUGAUAAGACGGCAGCCAUCCCUCCAGCUCCAUCCACAUCUCAUGGGUUGUCAUCUUUCUGUUGGUAAACAAGGUGUGUGUGUGUGUUGCAGUUGGUUCGGCCCUCACUACUAUCAUCUCAGUAUCCUGUGUGGCAGCCCUGCUCCUGUGCUGUCUGUGUGUGUGCCUCUGCAAGUGCUUCCUGUGUCGAGACGAUUGAGAUUUGACCUGGAAUGGUGGAAGAAGGACUGUUUUGAUGAGAAGCCAGAGUUCUGGUCAUCCAGCUCGACCUAUCAGCUCCUCAGCACCAUACGCCCCAUGUCUGUUAGAAGGAACAACUCACUACAGUGCUACACAUCACCAACAGCUGUUUCCCCAGGCCCCACUGGGUGAACUGGACAUAAACCUUCAUCCCACCAGUGACAACAACAUCAACAACACUAAAGCCAUGUUUCUAUUAACAGUAGAUAUAAAGACACUUAUCAAAAUGUGGCUUUGAAGUUUAGUUUGUCUGGUCCCAGAUCAGUGUAAUGACUUGCCAACGCCUAUAGUCAUUGUUACGCCGAUGGCGCAACAGAUCUGGGAUCAGGCUAUAACCGGUCCACUCGAUGAAGAAAAAAGUAUAGGACAAAGGCCCUUAAUAUAAAGUGCCUUACAAGUAGGUUUUAAAUUAUACGUUCGCAAAAACGUUCUAAUUACACACUGUAAUGUUUUUUAACAGUUACAGUGAGUUUAAAAGGACCAGGCUGCUUUUUUUGUGUGGGAGUUCUCCUGUUAUUUGUUUGUGUGAUUUUGCUGCUGUUAUAAGGGGGGGGGUUACACAUAUCUUUAUUUUAUGACUCAAAAACACAAACACUUCAUGGGAGUUCCAGUAUUAAAAUGCAAUUUGCCAUGUAUUAGUUAGCUAUAUGACAUUUAGAAUACAAACAAUAUCAUAUAUAUUUCUCAUGCUCAGUAUUUAACUUAGAUAUUUACAACAGGGAAUGACAAAAUGUCUGUCUCGCGUGCCUUUCCUAUUGAAGCGUAUUCCUACCAUCUGACCAUUAAAACUGAAGGUGUAAUUACAUUUACAGCAGGAAAAUGGCCUCCAACUUUUCAGCCUGUUUAAACCUCACAACAGAUGUAUGUAUACAAAUGAACUACUACUGUUUAUUAGCAAUAAACUCUUCAGCAUCUUCCUGUAGUUUAACAUCACACCAAAGCAGCCUACCCAAAAUAGUCUAGACAACGAUGGAAGUUGACGUGAUUGUGUCAAUGAAAUAUGCUUAUGACAUUGGAUGUCAGAUUGUGUUUAUCAGGAUGGCUUUUAGGCUACUGUCCCUUACAUCCCUGUGAAUAUUCCUGUUGGAAUGUCAAACAGCACUAAUAGUGAGCUGAGCUGUGUGUUUCUAAGUGCUGCCUGAGGAUUACUGGUGAACAGAUCUACAGCGGCUUCAGAACCUAUUCACCCGUUGUCUUUCUCCACAUGUUGUGUUAGUCGGAAUUUAAAAUGGAUUCAAAUGAGAUGUUGUGUCACUGGCCUAUUACAAAGUAAUUCAAAAUGAAACGCUGAAAUGUCUGGAGUCAAUUUAGUAUUCAACCCCUUUGUUAUGGCAAGUCAAAAUAAGUUCAGGAGUAAAAAUGUGCUUAACAAGUCGCGUAAUAAGUUGCAUGGAUUUUUGAAUGACUACCUCAUCUCUUUUCCUCACACAUACAAUGAUCUGUAAGGUCCCUCAGUUGAGCAGUGAAUUUCAAACAGAUUCAACAACAAAGACCAGGGAGAAUUUCCAAUGCCUCACAAAGAAGAGCACCAACAAGAAGAUGGGUAAACAAAGAAGAGCACCAACUAGAAGAUGGGUAAACAAAGAAAGAGCUGAGGAUCAAUAGCGGUGGGCAAUUUUUCAACCAAUAUGUUGUGAUAAUUGCAUUUUUUGAGCUAUAACCUGUUAGUUCAUAUGCCUUGUCACUGUGAUAUAUAGGCUUAAAGCCUAGACAAUAAGAAGACACAGUGGUAAAAUAAAUUCAACCACACCUUUGUUUCACCACAAACCCAGAGAGCAACCUCUGUCCGGUGAAGUCCAGAAAACAUAUUGCAGGUAACAAACAGUUACAUGACCUACAGCAUGGUAGAACAAGCACAUUUUUCAGACAUUCUCGGACUACUAAACUAUUGAUUUAGAACCACAGAGAGUUACUGCAAGUCGCAAAGAAAACAAGCGCUGCCUCCACUAAUCCAGCACCAUUUACACAUCUAAUCACCUGCGUUUACUGUGAUCCUGCGACUACCGUUUCUCAGUAAAGUCUGAUGUUUAUCCUGAGCCACUGAUUCCUGGUCUGGUCUCUUCUCUGCCCCUGGGUCCAACCUCACCACGUCACAAAGACUUGAAAAUGGCUGUCUAGCAAUGAUCAACCACCAACUUGACAAAGCUUGAAUAAAGCUCGGGUGGGUAGCAGGGAACCAGGAGCUGAGGCUGAGGCAAGGGGAGUAGGGGCAGGGUAAGCAGGACUGACAAGGGACUGGAGACAGGGACCAGAGUCAGAGCGGACGGAACUGUAGCGGAAAGUCAGGGUCAGGCUAGGGAAAACCAGGAACAAGAGGAUAACACAAUCUAUUCAGGAACAGACAGCUUAAACCGCAGACUGACUGAGCAGAUGCUACGAACUAGCAGCGUGGAAGUGGCAGGGCUGAGUAUUUGUAAAGGCCUUGAUUAUGGAACAUGUUGCAGCUGGUGGGGAUCUGCGCCGCCUCCAGCACACCUGUCUCCACUCACACAAACACACACACACAGAGGGAGAGAGCACUGGGGAAGUGGCAGCAGGUUAGGGAGACAGGAUGAGAAGUAGAUGGCAGGAGCAGAUGUAGCAGAGAGAAAUAAUCUAUUUAAUACCUUUUUGAAUUCAGGCUGUAACACAACAACAUGUGGAGUAAGUCAAGGGGUGUGAAUCCUUCCUGAAGGCGCUGUAUGUACAGUAUGUAAUGCACUAUUACAAGACCUACAUGGACAAUUAAACCACCCAGAGAUGCUCUUUA